GAGAAUUGUUAACGCCACAAUAUGUCAAUAGCCUGUCUCACCAGUCAAUUCAUAACACCGUCUACUAGUUACAAAAACAAACUUCAUUAAAAUUUAAAACAAAAGCAGACUAAAAAAGGAAAAAUCCAUUGCGGCUACAAGGACCCAUAAUCAUACACAUCAAGUCAAUUUGAUUUUGACCAUUUAACAAAAGAAGCACAAUCACUCAUAACUUCAGACUA
rnacentral:misc_RNA from 1 species